CACGUAGGGUGCGAGCGUUGUCCGGAAUUAUUGGGCGUAAAGAGCUCGUAGGCGGUGUGUCGCGUCGGCCCGUGAAAACCUGCAGCUUAACUGUGGGCUUGCGGUCGAUACGGGCAUCACUGGAGUUCGGCAGGGGAGACUGGAAUUCCUGGUGUAGCGGUGAAAUGCGCAGAUAUCAGGAGGAACACCGGUGGCGGAAGGCGGGUCUCUGGGCCGAUGACUGA
rnacentral:rRNA from 1 species